rnacentral:rRNA from 1 species
UACGUAGGUGGCAAGCGCUGUCCGGAUUUACUGGGCGUAAAGAGCGCGCAGGCGGUCGAGUAAGUCGAAUGUGAAAGCCCCCGGCUUAACUGGGGAGGGUCAUUCGAUACUGUUCGACUUGAAGGCAGGAGAGGGCAGCAGAAUUCCCGGUGUAGUGGUGAAAUGCGUAGAUAUUCGCAAGAACACCAGUGGCGAAGGCGGCUCACUGGCCCGGUACUGACGCUGAGGUGCGAAAGCGUGGGGAGCAAACAGG